GACAGAGGGUGCAAACGUUGUCCGGAUUUACUGGGCGUAAAGAGCGCGCAGGCGGUCGUUCAAGCCGCGUGUGAAAGCCCCCGGCUCAACUGGGGAGGGUCACGCGAUACUGAUCGACUGGAAGGCAGGAGAGGGUAGUGGAAUUCCCGGUGUAGUGGUGAAAUGCGUAGAUAUCGGGAGGAACACCAGUGGCGAAGGCGACUACCUGGCCUGUUCUUGACGCUGAGGCGCGAAAGCUAGGGGAGCAAACGGGG
rnacentral:rRNA from 1 species